GCAUGUCAUGAGUAAUGCUAUUGUUAUAUUAUUAUACUGCAAUUAUAUUACUUUCUCUGCAUUUGUGGGAGGAUACCAGUGGUUAGAUGUGUUUUAUGUGUUAAUGUUCUGUAUACAUUCUGGAACGAACCAAGGUUGUAGCCCUACUGCCAUUCUUUAAAAACAAUGUGAUCAUGUUUUUCUUCCAAACUCAUUGUUUUAGCACGCACGCUGACUUCCAUCAGUAAUGAUUUACAUUGAGUCAUUGGUUUGUAGGGGGAAAGAGUGGGUGAAUAUAAUUAUCUUGGUCUAACUUAUACUGUUUAUUAUAUCGCUAUUCGCAGCAAUAUCUUUCUCUGCUCCGAUUGCAACGCUGCCUCGUUCAAAAAUCAUAACACCGCCGCGGCCGCCACGUUUACCAGCCGGAGUUUCAAAUCAUGUCCCUUUGUGGUGAUAAAGAGGACACAGCCUGGUGUGAAGCUACAUUUAUUACGGAAGGAUGCCAGCCGGGAUCCGAACACGUCCGAUAUCAUCCAAGAGAAUGUGGCAGCUGAAGGGGAGAGUCCAAGAAAGAGGCCAAGGGUGAAGACAUUUAGCCACCCCCUGAAGUACAUGGCAGCAUUCAACCCUCUUGGUGAGCUGCAGGAAUGUGCUUCCCAUUGCAGUGCACCAGCUCCAUGUACUGAUUUUGGGUGUGAACUUGAUGGGGUUGGAGGAAACUCGACUCGGCCAUCAAGCUCACCACAAUAUAACAUGAAAAGCGAAAAUUGCUGCACACAACAGUCUGCCGUCUGCGCCAGGAGGCAAGUUAGCUCAAAUCCCAGGCUGUUACAACUCCUGGGCAGUUUUUGCCCAGAGCCAGCAAUUUUUUAGAUCCAAUAGGGAUGGAUUUUUUCUGAGGUCAGGUUCAACAUGCUGCAAGAUGCCAAGAUCUAAGCCUAGUAGGAGAUAUGGGUUACAAGAGAGGAGGUUUGCUCUGGCCUUAUACUAUCAAAGUCCAAAUGCUAAUAGAUUUAUAAGCACAGUAUUUCACUUGCCUUCAGUUUCAACACUUCACUCAUGACUCAGGGGUAUUUCAGUAAAUGUUGGCUGGAGCAAACAGACUCUGACAGCCCUGCAGCAAAGAGCACAGGCUUUGUCAAAAGAAGAGAAACUUUGUGGGAUUUGCCAUUAUUUAGUAUUACUCUUGUUACGCCAAGAAUAUUUUUCCAUAUACUUUGCCAAAUAUUGCAAGUAAUGCACCAUUGUUGGGCUUGCUUGUUAUAAAUCAGAUCUUGUUCAAUUAACAGGCUUUGGGUGUCUGCCACUUUCCAGUUGUAAUGCAAGGAAUCAUUUAUCUUCCCUGCUAGAUAUCACAUGUAAUGCACCAUUGUUGGUUUUGCCUGUUAUAAAUCAGAUCUUGUUCAAUUAACAACUUUUGGGUGUCUGCCACUUUCCAGUUGUAAUGCAAGGAAUCAUCUUCCCUGCCAGAUAUCACAUGUAAUGCACCAUUGUUGGUUUUGCCUGUUAUAAAUCAGAUCUUGUUCAGUUAACAAGCUUUAGGUGUCUGCCACUUUCCAGUUGUAAUGCAAGGAAUCCCCUGCCAGAUAUCGCAUGUAAUGCACCAUUGUUGGUUUUGCCUGUUAUAAAUCAGAUCUUGUUCAGCUCACAAGCUUUGAAUAUCUGCCAUUGUUUAUUUCAGGUGUAAUGCUUGGAAGCAUUUGUUCUCUUCCCUACCCAACAGUAUGCAAUGCUUUAUUGUGGAUUUUGCCUGUUAUAUUUAAUCUUGUUCAGGUAACAAGCUUUUGGUGUCUGCCUUACCUAAUAAUGUGCUGCAGUGACACUUGGCUUGGUUUCAUAAUGUGAAAUACAGCAUGUAAUUUCAUCACACUAAGUGUCUAUCAUCACGUGUCUGGCAUCAUUAAUGUGGCUUCCAGGAGUAAUCUUGUUUGUAUUACAGCUUGCAAUUUUUUCUGCUUUAUAUGAUAUACAUAAUCGCAUAGGUAUGAUUUUUUUUUUUUUUUUUUGACAAAAUGUAAUGGCAGUUGAUAUUCUUGACUAAUGCCUCAUAAACCUUGUGAAAAGUAAUGCUUUUUUGAAGGGGGGGGGGUGGACAGAGAGUGGUUUGUUUGGUUGGCCAGUUCAAGGAGUUUCAUAUCAAAUGAUUUUAUUACAUCCAACUUUAAUGUGUGCUAAAAACAUAUAUUUUAUUACAUCCAACUUUAAUGUGUGGUUCCUGCAAUAAAUGCUACAUGUUUACUGAUGUAGCCUAUGAAACACAUAUCACUCUCUGCCCUGUAAUUUGGUGUGUCACAUACUGCAGCAUAACUUUCCUGCUAUUUUCUUACACUAUGAGUUCCCUUAUUUUGUCUCAUUUGCUUUUAUCAUAUGUGCCUCCGCUGCAGAGUUGUGCCUACUGAGCUUAAUAUCUUCAUGACCCAGACACCAAGGUCAGAGCUUGUGAGAUCAUACCGUGUCCUACAUCCCAUUUUCACCUCCAGUCUCGGCUGUCUCCCAGGACCACCAAGCUAUUGCAUUCCAUUUAAGACAACUCAUGUGUUACCUUCUUGAUGUCCUCCAUCAUGUAUUUCAGCAUGUUUUAUGAUGCUUUGCUCUUAUAUUGAUGUGCCUUGCAACAUUUUUAUACAGUUUUCAUUGUAUAUAACGCACCAUUGUUGGUUUUGCCUGUUAUAAAUCGGGUCAUGUUCAUUUAACAAGCUUUGAGUGUCUCCCAUUGUUUAUUUCAGUUGUAAUGCUUAGAAGCUUUUGUUCUUUGCCCUGUCAAGAAGUAUGCAAUGCUUGCCAUUAUCUGGCACUUGUACAGUUAGUAUAAUAUUUUUACUCAGCUAAGAGCAUUUUGCAAAAGGUAAAGGUAUGGUUGGGGGCAUACGCUGUAGCAGCGCGUGGCCUCGGUGCUCAUCUCUGUAACAUUGGCCCUUGAGCCUGUGGUGUUAGGGAACCCAUUGGCCUGGGACACAGGACCAGUGUGACAUCCGGGUUACCACAGUUGCAAAGGCAUUUUAGUAAUCUAGCAUGCAUAGAAUGUUGUAUGCUUUGCUUGUAUUUAAAGCACUGGAUAUGUUUGCUA